UUUUAUGUAUAUCCGAUAAAGAAACUAUAAAUAAAACUAUUCCAAGGGUGUUUUGCUGUUUUGUGUGCCCGUGCAUUCCAUCAACUUGAUCGGCUGCCUCUUGCCAACAUUGUUUGAAUUACUGCAAAACCAUCGCUGCACUCGUUUUCACUUGCUUUGGUUCGCUGCCUAUGUACAUCUUGGUGCCAGCUGCGGACUGUGGACCAACUUUUCGUGGCCGUGUAACUCUCGCAUCGUCACAGUGUGUCAUCCGCUUCUCUGUCUGUGGGACCACUGCAUCGUAGGUUUCUUCUGCUGCUCCACACGUUUUCGACUGCUUCGUGUUCCUUUGUUCAUCUGGCUUGUACAUUUCUGUCGCUGCACUAUCAGCUUACCAUAAUCUACUUUAGAGCCAUCUUUGCACCACCGGCGUAUUUUCGACUACUAUUUCGCAAAGCGGCCUUUUUUCUUCCCUUUUCUCUCGUGCUUCGUAUGCUUCCAAAAUACAACCUUGAGCUAAGGGAGUCGUCGAAACGAGCUGUUACUACGUAUAUCACCUUUAAUUAUUGCGUCAUGGUUAUACACUGUGAUGUCACGAUCAGCAACAAUUGCAUCAAAAUAAGUAAAAGCCACCGCAGAGGCUUUUUAUUCAACUAAUCGCCCGUAAAUCGUUGACUAAAAUGGAGCAACAGUAGUUACGCAAAUUCCAGGAAAUGUCCACAAAACACCGCAUUAAUCAACUUAAGAAAAACAGAAGCAACAAAUUUUAAAACAAGUACUGGAUCAAAACAAUUGGGGCUCCAAACACCAUCCGAACUUGCAAAAUGCACGAAAACCUAUUGAUGAGUUCAUUGGCGAAGUCUAUAACUCAACGGUUGGGCAACAACCUGCAAAAACACCCAAAUAUGUUGGCGAGUUUGGCGAUGCUUGCGAGAAAAAACAGCAACUUGUUUCAACAAAACCAUUUAGUAUAAUAAGGACUUAUCGUUCAUUUUUGGCAAUUUUUUGUUCUCGCAUUUUCUACCAUACGAAGUAUGCUCCAAAACUUUUUUGUAUGGAUAAAAUCAGCAACACCUUCCACAAAAAAGUUGACAAAAAUCAAUGGUAACUACUAGCUACUUAAAAUUUGCUCC